rnacentral:rRNA from 1 species
UGCUGGAAGUGCCUUUGACUA